GCCCGGCUCGCGCAAUGGUAACGCGUAAGACUUCUAAUUCUCUUUGAUCCCUCCCAAAAACAAGAAGGAUCAGGGAAAAAGCUUAUCUUAAGGUUGUGGGUUCAAGUCCAACGACGUCGGGUG